GCCAAGUCCCAAGGCUUUAGCCAAACUUCCUGCCUUCCUGCCUGAACUACACGGUACUUUAGCCAAACUUCCUGCCCAUCUGUCGGUAUGCAGUUUGUACCGGCCAAAGUAAAAACUGUUGUGAAAAUUGGUUUACAUGGUCAUCACACACGACAGGAGCCCAGGAAGUAAACAGGCGGGAUGUGCAGGUCCUCUUGCAGGUCACCUUCGUUACCCUGCUGCUCUUUGCUCUGCUUUCUAAUCGUUGCUACACAAUUAGCCUGCUAAGCUUCUGCUGGAAAGAAGUCAGGAGAGGAGACUGGAUGUUGUGCCGUCAUUCUCUGCACUCAGAAAGCACUAGUGGAGAGGAGCAACUGUGCUGAACUUCUCCUUCUUUUACAAGAAAGAAUAAAGGUAAGCAAACUGGUGUAAACCAGAUUUAAUUCAUGUGGAGGUAAUAGCUUUGCAGAAUGAAUUUUUCCUGUAGAAGCAUUUGUUUGAAACAUGGAUUUUUUAAAAUUACAUUUUUAGAUAAUGCACAAUUUAAUGUACAAAAAAUGUGUCUUUUUUCCCCCUCACAGCAUGUCCAAGACACCAGAGAGGACAUCUACAAGUUCUGCAGGCUCAACAAAUAGCAAAGAUGUCACCCCCAAGGAUUCACCGGCUGGUUCACUUUCUGACACACCCAAGAAAUCAUCGAAGAAGUCAAAGAAAAGCAAAGACAACAUGACCAAAGUCUACACCUCUGUGCUGGACAGCGUCUUUGGUGCAGUAAGCAUCUGACCCCCCUCCCCCUUUUUGAUGUGCAUUUGGACUGUACUGUCAAAAGAAGUACAGGAGCAGUCAUUCAGGGCAAUCACAAGUGUCCUUGCUGGUCUUUGCUGGCGCAGCCACUAAUCCUCCCUCGUCCCCUGUCAUUAGUGGCUCAUUAGUUAAGGCUUACUGCCAGAGUUCAUUAGCAUUAGCCAGGUAGCACUCACUGAAUGUAGCUUUUUAAUUUUACAUCAGUCAAUUUAGAAAACUGUUAUUGUGUUACAUAUUAUGACCUU
rnacentral:lncRNA from 1 species